GUUAAUCUUCAUAGGCCCAAUUUCUUAACAGAUAACCAGGUUUUGGCUGAAGCUGCGGCGAGGCGAUGCCCUAAAAAUUACCCUGGCCACUGGACUAUCAGAGAUAGUCUUAAUGCUUUCAUCAAGCACACUAAGGAACUUGAUCCUAGAGUAUUGAAGAUUAAUAGGUCAAGCAAUAAGGGUGCCCAUAGGCAAGCUCAAGAUGGUUACAACAUUCGUAAUGUUGGAGCUUGUAUUUUCACUUGUGUAGGUGUUAGGCACAACAGGGGAUCUUAUCCUGUCAGAGUGUAUCGCUAA
rnacentral:rRNA from 1 species